rnacentral:rRNA from 1 species
UUGGAGGGCAAGUCUGGUGCCAGCAGCCGCGGUAAUUCCAGCUCCAAUAGCGUAUAUUAAAGUUGCUGCAGUUAAAAAGCUCGUAGUUGAAUUUCGGAACCAAUAUGCUGGUUGUGCCUCGGUACGUACUGGCAUUGUUGGUUUCUCCCUUCUGACGAACUAUGAUGUCAUUAAUUUGGUGUCAUGGGGAAUCAGGACUGUUACUUUGAAAAAAUUAGAGUGUUUAAAGCAGGCUCACGCUUGAAUACAUUAGCAUGGAAUAAUGAAAUAGGACGUUUGAUUCUAUUUUGUUGGUUUCUAGGAUUGACGUAAUGAUUAAUAGGGAUAGUUGGGGGCAUUAGUAUUCAAUUGUCAGAGGUGAAAUUCUUGGAUUUAUUGAAGACUAACUACUGCGAAAGCAUUUGCCAAGGAUGUUUUCAUUAAUCAAGAACGAAAGUUAGGGGAUCGAAGACGAUCAGAUAUCAUCGUAGUCUUAACCAUAGACUAUGCCGACUAGGGAUCGGAUGAUGUUAAUCUUUAAUGACUCAUUCGGCGCCUUACGGGAAACCAAAGUGUUUGGGUUC